GAGGUUAGCCGGCUGAUAUUAAAGCUUUGGCCUUGGAUCAACAUAUCUGGGAGGACUCGAGGAUAACGGAUUAACGCGCCGUCCCCUCAUGCAGCAACGUGACCUGAGGCGGGAGGGUUUGGCGGAGGCAAUAAGGCAGAAAAUCUAAUACAGUGGCGCGGGCUGUCCCACCGGGCUAAGCUGCCUCCAACAGCGGAGGGAGGCGCCUCCUCUUCUCUUCUUUUAUUCCUCCUUCAUAUUCGGGCCAGCUCCUUCCCCUCUGUCUUCCUCCCUUCUUUUCCCCACGUCGGGCUUACACAGGUACAUAAAGCGAUAAGCUGCGAGUCCUGUCCGGCCGCGACUAUAACCAAAUUGCAGCAGUUUUAUUGGGCAGCUUUGCCAGAGCAGUAACCCUUUUUUUUUCCGCCUGGAGGAAUACAGAGUCAGCUAUUUGUUUGGCCGCUUGCAUACUCAACCCAACCGCCGCCGCGCUCCUCGGCCUGCUCCCACUGUCCACCCCCGCCUCUGUCCACCCGUUUGUUUUCCCAAUACAUCAACCCACCACCCACCCUGGAGGAUACACAGCUCACGUACACACCUCUAGAUGGUUUAGUGCCUGGCUGUGCCCAGACGGGUACGGUUCAAUAGCUCUGAGCCAAAGAAAUAACACUGUCGACUUUCUGCUGAAUCGCAGGCGUUGACGUCCGCGCCCUGCACAGCCGUGGACGCCGACGGCCGCGCGGGAUCGUCUGCGCCCAUGAACAGCUGACUGCACAGUGAACUCCGCGGCCCUCCGGGGGAGGGGGGCACGAGUCCACCACCUCGGCCUCUGGGAGUCUCGGGCACUCAGCCGCCCCCGAGCACACCUGCGGCGAGAAGACGCCGGCGUGCGGGUGGAACGGGGACGCUGAUUACCGAGAGCUCCUCGGCGACGGGCCGGUCAAAGAGAAGCCACGUCUCCGUGCACAUCCGUAAUGGCCGUGAAACCUUCAGUAAACUGCAGCGAGGGGUCAAAUCCAUCCAGGUGUCACAAAAGAGCUCCGCUAGGUUUGACACUCGGUCGAGAUGAUUUGCUCUCAGCUACACAGAAUGCACCAGGAUCAGCAAAAUGUUUUGCCAAGUGAUGAGAUCGAGCGAGUUGAACGAGCCACUGAUGGACGGACGUGGAAAGAGCAGAGAGGGAAAAUAAAAAAAACACUGUUGGUACAGUC
ensembl:lncRNA